rnacentral:lncRNA from 10 species
CGGCAACCCGUUCAGGACCCCUCUCUCUGCAGGAGGGAGUUCUUUCCUUUCUUUUGCCUAUUAAACUUCCACUCUUUACCUUACUCUUGUGUGUCCACGUCCUUUUUUUCCAUGGUUGUGGAACACUGAACCUCAGGUAUCACUCCAGACAACGAGGCCAUUUCAAUAGGAAAAAGUUUCAAUAAAUGACUAUUAAACGUGAUCUAUUUUUAAAUUUUAGUCAUUGCCAUUUUUACUUCUAGAAUUUUUAUUUGAUGCUCUUUUUAAUAACAGCUUUUAGAUAUAAUUCACAUACCACAAAUUUAUCCUUUUAAACUGUACAAUACAGUGUACAUAUUUUCAAGGUUCAUUUUUGUUUCAGUAUGUAUCAACAAUUCCUUCUUUUUUAUUGUUGAAUAAUAUUUCACUGUUUGGAUAUAUCACAUUAUAUUUAUUUAACAGUUAUUGGACAUUUGGAACAUUUUCACUUUUCAGCAUUAUGCAUAAUGCUGUUAUAAACAUUUGUGUGCAAGUUCUUCUUUGAAUAUAUAUUUUCAGUACUCUUGGAUAUAUACCUCAGACUGCAACUGAGGCUUUUACACCAGAACAACUCCAUCUUGAAAAGGAGCUGGGUGAAAUGAGGCUGAGACCUACUGUGCUGCAUUCCCAGACGGAUCACCAAGGAUUCAGACCGAUACCAAUGAUGCAAUAAAGACAUCAUUUUUCCUCCAGGAAAAAAAGAGAAAUAUGGGUUUAGUCACCAAGGAAGAAGGCAGUAAAUAGCUUUGAACACUCACAUUUACACUCUAAUAUAUCUGUGUAAAGGAUAUGAAGGAUAUAAAUAAUUUAGAAAUUGUGGGGGAAGUAGGUAUCUCUAAUAUUGAAUAAAAAGAAAAUAAAUGACCAGAUCAAAUACCUAUGUUGACUUCUAUUAACACACUGUAAAGAUUUCCUCACAUGUUUUAACUAUAGGGCUGAGAUAGUUAAGAACAAACCUUUAACUUUGAGAGAGGUAUUGCCAAAUUGUAAUUUCGGAAGAAUUAAAAUCCUUACCUGCUGCCAUAAACAAAAGUCAGAUAAAGCUAGGUAAGGAAAAUUGUGAAGAAACUUAACUGUUGGAAUUUGAACAACUGGAGUUUUCUCAUGCCCUAUCCAAUACUGAGCCUUCCUUGUUCACUGAAGUCCCUUCACUUUUGUAUAUUGAGACUCUUCCUUCCCUGCUUAAAAAUGUUGCUAUUUUCUUGCCCCAGGGAAUUUUGUUGCAAAAACAAUACUGUUUCACUUAUACUUCUUUCACUGUUUUCACAAUUAUAAAUAGUCUGGUCCAAGUAUAUCCUAAAGAGCACAAAGAAAAUAAACAAAUGAACAAACAGAAAAAAAACUAAGUCUUCCUCAUUUAAAAAAUAAUAUCAAUUAUCCAGUUGCAUGUAAGAUAUGAAAAUUCUCUAUCAAUGUUAGAGGACAAU